CGUUAGAGAUGAGCUGGGCCUCCUGCGCAGAAUCAGAGCAAACCGGUCCUGCUUGGUUUCUGACCGACUUCUGCUGCAUUCAAGACGAAGGCAAACUCGGAAAUAUCUCCUCUCCACCAAAGAAUCUACGGCAAUCUACUGGCUCUCAAUGUUCAACACUGUUGUUCACAGAGAAAGGAAGAGGAAUGGAGCAAACAAACAAUGCACUGGUGCAGUACCUCAAAAGAGCAGUGGACCAGUAGGACACUGUUGGUGACAAGCACCUGAAGUGGCACCAAAUGUUCCAUCUCUAACUGACUGGGGUUGGAUGGACCCAAGCUACUGGAGACCACUGUGUCAACUCUUCCACAGACAAGCUGGCCCAUCUAAUCCCUGACCUCUUAGGUUGUGUCUGCAAGAGAGGCUGAUGGGGGGCACUGCUAAAGCAAAACAGCCUGUUUAAAGUGCACAGUUCUGUGUCAAUGUGGAGAAAACAGUGAAGAAGACAGCGGAGAGAAGGUUCAACAUCAACAGCAAAACAAAUGUGUUUUUGAAAUAAAUGUUUUGGAGUAAA